UACCUGGUUGAUCCUGCCAGUAGUCAUAUGCUUGUCUCAAAGAUUAAACCAUGCAUGUGCAAGUAUGAACCAAUUUGAACUGUGAAACUGUGAAUGGCUCAUUAAAUCAGUUUUAUUUUGUUUGAUGGUACGUGCUACUCGGAUAACUGUAGUAAUUCUAGAGCUAAUACAUGUAACAAACCCCGACUUCUGGGAGGGGGCACAUUUAUUAGAUAAAAGGCGGACGUGGGCUCUACUCGCUGAUCCGAUGAUUCAGGAUAACUCGAUGGAUCGCACUGCCUCCAUGCCAGCGACACAUCAUUCAAAUUUCUGCCCUGUCAACUUUGGAUGGUAGGAUAGGUGCCUACCAUUGUGGUGACGGGUGACGGAGAAUUAGGGUUCGAUGCCAGAGAGGGAGCAUGAGAAACGGCUACCACAUUCAAGGAAGGCAGCAUGCGUGUAAAUUACCCAAUCCUGACACGGGGAGGUAGUGACAAUAAAUAAAAAUACCGGGCACAUUAGUGUGUGGUAAUUAGAAUGAGUACAAUCUAAAUCCCUUAAAGAGGAUCCGUUGGAGGGCAAGUCUGGUGCCAGCAACCGUGGUAAUUCCAGCUCCAAUAGCGUAUAUUUAAGUUGUUGUAGUUCAAAAGCUCGUAGUUGGAUCUUCGGGCCGGUCGGCUGGUCCACCUCACGGCGAGCACCGACCUACUCGACCCUAGCCUUACUUGGUCGGGUCAUGUUUCCGACAUCGUUACUUUGAAGAAAUUAGAGUGCUCAAAGCAAGCCAUCACUCUGGGUACAUUAGCAUGGGAUAACAUCAUACGAUUCUGGUCCUAUUGUGUUGGCCUUCGGGAUCGCAGUAAUGAUUAAUAGGGACACACGAGGGUAUUCAUAUUUCAAUGUCAGAGGUGAAAUUCUUGGAUUUAUGGAAGAUGAGCAACUAUGAAAGCAUUUGCCUAGGAAGUUUUCAUUAAUCAUGAACAAAAGUUGGGGGCUCGAAGACGAUCAGAUACCAUCCUAAUCUCAACCAUAAACGAUGCCGACCAGGGAUUGGCGGAUGUUGCUUAUAGGACUCCGCCGGAACCUUAUGAGAAAUCAAAUUCUCUAGGAUCCGGGGGGAGUAUGGUCGCAAGAGUGAAAUUUAAAGGAAUUGAUAGAAGGGCACCACCAGGUGUGGAGCCUGUUGCUUAAUUUGACUCAACAUAGGGAAACUUACCAGGUCCAGACAUAGCAAGAAUUGACAGACUAAGGGCUCUUUCUCGAUUCUAUGGGUGGUGGCGCAUGGCCGUUCUUAGUUGGUGGAGUGAUUUGUCUGGUUAAUUCGGUUAAGAAUGAGACCUCCGCCUGCUAAGUAGCAAUGCAGAGCCAUCCCUCCAUAGCUAGCUUCUUAGAGGGACUAUCGCUGUUUAGGCGACUGAUGUUUGAGGCAAUAACAGGUUUGUGAUGCCCUUAUAUGUUCUGGGCCGUAUGUGCGGUACACUGAUGUAUUCAACGACUAUAUAGCCUUAGCCGACAGGCCCGGGUAAUCUUGGGAAAUUUCAUCAUUAUGGGGAUAAAUCAUUGCAAUUGUUGGUCUUCAACGAGGAAUGCCUAUUAAGCGUGAGUCAUCAGCUCGGGUUGACCAGAUCCCAGCCCUUUGUACACACCGCCAGUUGGUCCUACCGAUUGAAUGGUACGGUGAAGUAUUGGUAUUGCGGCGACGGGGGCGGUUCACCGCCCCCGGUGUCGCCAGAAGUCCAUUGAACCUUAUCAUUUAGAGGAAGGAGAAGUCGUAACAAGGUUUCCGUAGGUGAACCCGCGGACGGAUUGUUG
rfam:Triticum aestivum genome assembly, contig: Triticum_aestivum_CS42_TGACv1_scaffold_513523_6BS